GCCAAUCAAGCAAAAAUUAGAAGCCAAUCAAGCCAAACGAUUCGAGCAACUACCGUCGGACGUCGAAGCGUGGUCCCACAUGACAGAGACGCUCCCCCCUCGAGCUGCUUGAACUGGACCAACUGAGCCAGCCACACUCCCCUUCCCCUCCCCCUCUCGCACCAAACCCUCGCUCGCUCCGGCCGCCGCCGGGGGUUCCGAAUCCGGCCACGCAUCAUGGCCGCGCGGCCGCCCCCGCCGCUGCCGGACGAGAUCGUGGAGGAGAUCCUCGUCCGCGUCCCGCCGGACGACCCCGCACGCCUCGUCCGCGCCGCCCUCGCGUGCAAGCGCUGGCGCCGCCUCGUCUCCGGCCCGGGCUUCCGCCGCAGGUUCCGCGAGCUCCACCCGAAGCCACCCGUGCUGGGCUUUCUUCGAAGAGGCUUCGUCGGCGACAUCGGCGAAGGCACCGUCCGCUUCAUCCCCGCCUGGUCCUCCGGCCGGCCCCGCGCUGACCGCUCGACUCCCGCAACGGCCGUGUCCUUCUCUGCAGCGAGCCGUGCUGGCCCUGGCACGAACCUGCCGGCGUUCCUGCCUUCGCCGUCUGGGAUCCCGUCGCGGACGAGCUGCGGGAACUGCCCGCGCUGCCGGAUUUCGCAGACAUGCACUUUUUCAAUGCAGCGGUGCUCUGCGCGGAAUGCUGCGACCACCUCGACUGCCGCCGCGAGCCUUUCACCGUGGUGUUCGUCGCCACUCACCCUGCGGGGACGUCCGCCUACCUGUACACAUCCGAAGCUGAUGCCUGGAGUGAGCCAACCUCUGCUCCACACGCUGCUUUUCUUAUUGAGAUGGAGCGUGGCGCUCAUGUGAGGAACGCGCUCUACUUUGUCAUCUCGGGUAUCACUGGGCCUAGAAUCCUCAAGUACGAUUUGGGCACACGGGAAAUGACUGUGAUUCACCCACCGCCUAUGUCCAAAUCCAAUCAGCGCAUCGUGAUCAUGACUGCAGAGGGUGGUGGGCUGGGAUGCCUCACUAUCAAGAGGUCCAGACUCCACCUGUGGUUGUGGGAGGCUGAUCCGAAAGGAGAUAUGGGAUGGACACUGAGCAGAGUCAUAGAUCACAAGACGCUGGUCCCUGAGGGUAAAUUCGCGCGGUCAUUUGGUGCUGUUGGCUUUGCGGAUGGUGGUGGUAUGGUCUACUUGGGCACUAAAAAUGGAUUCUAUGUUGCUGAUUUGAAGUCCAUGCACUUCAGGAAAGCAGAAGGGGUCAAUGGCCUGGAUGAAAUUAUUCCGUACAUCAGCUUCUAUACUCCAGCAUUCAGUGUGGCUUCUACAGGUGAGGAUCCAAGAGUUGAUGCUUAAAGUUAGUGAAAAAAAAAUUCAAGCUGCUAGUGAAGGUCUUCUCUGUGAGGGAGUAACUUUUAGGUCCUGUAAUUUUUUUUCUGCUCAUGUUCUGUUGGCCUGGAGACCACAGCCUAUUAGUUUAUAUAAUAAUUCUUGGGCUUGUCAGUGAGAUGGUAAUGCCAGCUCUACCCCACCACUCUCUGUGAGACGGAGCACAAUGUAAUUAAAGCUCGCAAUGAGAGUCAGAAUGAUAGUGUUGUUCAGGAUUAGCUUCUUACAAACUUGGAAAGAUAGUUUGGCAACAUAGUUCAUCCAGUUGUACCCUAGUUCCUGUGAACUCUAAAACUUGAGCUUGCAGUGGAAGUCCGGAACUAACAUUAUUCUCCCUGAAUCUCUUUCUUUUCCUUUUGAAACGAAUGUCCCUGAAUCUCUUUCUUUUCCUUUUGAAA